rnacentral:rRNA from 1 species
UACGGAGGGAGCUAGCGUUGUUCGGAAUUACUGGGCGUAAAGCGCGCGUAGGCGGCUUUGUAAGUUAGAGGUGAAAGCCCGGAGCUCAACUCCGGAACUGCCUUUAAAACUGCAUCGCUUGAAUCCAGGAGAGGUGAGUGGAAUUCCCAGUGUAGAGGUGAAAUUCGUAGAUAUUGGGAAGAACACCGGUGGCGAAGGCGGCUCACUGGCUCAUUUCUGACGCUCAGGCGCGACAGCGUGGGGAUCAAACAGG